rnacentral:rRNA from 1 species
UGCGUAGGAGGGCAGGUAAGUCAGUGGUGAAAUCUCCAAGCUUAACUUGGAAACUGCCGUUGAUACUAUCUGUCUUGAAUAUUGUGGAGGUGAGCGGAAUAUGUCAUGUAGCGGUGAAAUGCUUAGAUAUGACAUAGAACACCAAUUGCGAAGGCAGCUCACUACACAAUUAUUGACUCUGAGGCACGAAAGCGUGGGGAUCAAACAGGAUUAGAUACCCUGGUAGUCCACGCCCUAAACUAUGGAUACUCGACAUACGCGAUAUACAGUGUGUGUCUGAGCGAAAGCAUUAAGUAUCCCACCUGGGAAGUACGACCGCAAGGUUGAA